GAGCAGCAGUAGUGAGUAGGGAGCAGCAGUAGUGAGUAGAGAGCAGCAGUAGUAAGUAGGGAGCAGCUAGGUGAGUAGGGAGCAGCUAGGUGAGUAGGGAGCAGCUAGGUGAGUACGGAGCAGCAGUAGUGAGCAGGGAGCAGCUAGGUGAGUACGGAGCAGCAGUAGUGAGUAGGGAGCAGCUAGGUGAGCAGGGAGCAGCUAGGUGAGUACGGAGCAGCAGUGGUGAGCAGGGAGCAGCUAGGUGAGUACGGAGCAGCGGUAGUGAGCAGGGAGCAGCUAGGUGAGUACGGAGCAGCAGUAUUGAGCAGGGAGCAGCUAGGUGAGUACAGAGCAGCAGUAGUGAGUAGGGAGCAGCUAGGUGAGUAGGGAGCAGCUAGGUGAGCAGGGAGCAGCUAGGUGAGUACGGAGCAGCAGUAGUGAGCAGGGAGCAGCUAGGUUAGUAGGGAGGAGCAGUAGUGAGUAGGGAGCAGCAGUAGUGAGUAGGGAGCAGCUAGGUGAGCGGGGAGCAGCUAGGUGAGUACGGAGCAGCAGUAGUGAGCAGGGAGCAGCUAGGUGAGUACAGAGCAGCAGUAGUGAGCAGGGAGCAGCUAGGUGAGUACGGAGCAGCAGUAGUGAACAGGGAGCAGCUAGGUUAGUAGGGAGGAGCAGUAGUGAGUAGGGAGCAGCAAUAGUGAGCAGGGAGCAGCAGUAGUGAGUAGGGACAGCUCGGUGAGUAGGGAGCAGCAGUCGUGAGUAGGGAGCAGCUAGGUGAGUAGGGAACAGCAGUAGUGAGUAGGGAGCAGCUAGGUGAGUAGGGAGCAGCUAGGUGAGCAGGGAGCAGCUAGGUGAGUACGGAGCAGCAGUAGUGAGCAGGGAGCAGCUAGGUUAGUAGGGAGGAGCAGUAGUGAGUAGGGAGCAGCAGUAGUGAGUAGGGAGCAGCUAGGUGAGCGGGGAGCAGCUAGGUGAGUACGGAGCAGCAGUAGUGAGCAGGGAGCAGCUAGGUGAGUACAGAGCAGCAGUAGUGAGCAGGGAGCAGCUAGGUGAGUACGGAGCAGCAGUAGUGAACAGGGAGCAGCUAGGUUAGUAGGGAGGAGCAGUAGUGAGUAGGGAGCAGCAAUAGUGAGCAGGGAGCAGCAGUAGUGAGUAGGGACAGCUCGGUGAGUAGGGAGCAGCAGUCGUGAGUAGGGAGCAGCUAGGUGAGUAGGGAACAGCAGUAGUGAGUAGGGAGCAGCUAGGUGAGCAGGGAGCAGCUAGGUGAGUACGGAGCAGCAGUAGUGAGCAGGGAGCAGCUAGGUGAGUAGGGAGGAGCAGUAGUGAGUAGGGAGCAGCAGUAGUGAGUAGGGAGCAGCAGUAGUGAGUAGGGGGCAGCAGUAGUGAGCAGGGAGCAGCAGUAGUGAGUAGGGACAGCUAGGUGAGUAGGGAGCAGCAGUAGUGAGUAGGGAGCAGCAGUCGUGAGUAGGGAGCAGCUAGGUGAGUAGGGAGCAGCAGUAGGGAGUAGGGAGCAGCUAGGUGAGUAGGGAGCAGCAGUGAAUAGGGAGCAGCAGUAGUGAGUAGGGAGCCGUUAGGUCUGUAUGGAGCAGCAGCUAGGUGAGUAGGGAGCAGCACUAGUUAGUAGGGAGCAGCUAGGUGAGCAGAGAGCAGCUAGGUGAGCAGGGAGCAGCUCAGUGAGUAUGGAGCAGUAGUUGUGAGUAGGGAGCAGCUACGUGAGUAGGGAGCAGCUAGGUGAGUAGGGAGCAGCUAGGUGAGUAGGGAGCAGCUAUGUGAGUAGGGAGCAGCUGGGUGAGUAGGGAGCAGCAGUAGUGAGCAGGGAGAAGCUAGGUGAGUAGGGAGUAGCAGUAGUGAGUACGGACGGAGCAGCAAUAGUGAGUACGGAGAAGCAGUAGUGAGUAGGGAGCAGCAAUAGUGAGUAGGGAGCAGCAAUAGUGAGUACGGAGCAGCAGUAGUGAGCAGGGAGCAGCUAGGUGAGUACAGAGCAGCAGUAGUGAGCAGGGAGCAGCUAGGUGAGUACGGAGCAGCAGUAGUGAGCAGGGAGCAGCUAGGUUAGUAGGGAGGAGCAGUAGUGAGUAGGGAGCAGCAAUAGUGAGCAGGGAGCAGCAGUAGUGAGUAGGGACAGCUCGGUGAGUAGGGAGCAGCAGUAGUGAGUAGGGAGCAGCAGUCGUGAGUAGGGAGCAGCUAGGUGAGUAGGGAACAGCAGUAGUGAGUAGGGAGCAGCAGUAGUGAGUAGGAAGCAGCUAGGUGAGCAGGGAGCAGCUAGGUGAGCAGGGAGCAGCUAGGUGAGUACAGAGCAGCAGUUGUGAGCAGGGAGCAGCUAGGUGAGUACGGAGCAGCAGUAGUGAGUAGGGAGCAGCUAGGUGAGCAGGGAGCAGCUAGGUGAGUACGGAGCAGCAGUAGUGAGCAGGGAGCAGCUAGGUGAGUACGGAGCAGCAGUAGUGAGCAGGGAGCAGCUAGGUGAGUACGGAGCAGCAGUAGUGAGUAGGGAGCAGCUAGGUGAGUAGGGAGCAGCUAGGUGAGCAGGGAGCAGCUAGGUGAGUACGGAGCAGCAGUAGUGAGCAGGGAGCAGCUAUGUGAGUAGGGAGGAGCAGUAGUGAGUAGGGAGCAGCAGUAGUGAGUAGGGAGCAGCAGUAGUGAGUAGGGGGCAGCAGUAGUGAGCAGGGAGCAGCAGUAGUGAGUAGGGACAGCUAGGUGAGUAGGGAGCAGCAGUAGUGAGUAGGGAGCAGCAGUCGUGAGUAGGGAGCAGCUAGGUGAGUAGGGAGCAGCAG